rnacentral:rRNA from 1 species
UAGCGGGAGGCCUAACACAUGUAUGCCGAGCGGUAGAGAUUCUUCGGAAUCUUGAGAGCGGCGUACGGGUGCGGAACACGUGUGCAACCUGCCUUUAUCUGGGGGAUAGCCUUUCGAAAGGAAGAUUAAUACCCCAUAACAUUUUGAAUGGCAUCAUUUAAAAUUGAAAACUCCGGUGGAUAGAGAUGGGCACGCGCAAGAUUAGAUAGUUGGUGAGGUAACGGCUCACCAAGUCUACGAUCUUUAGGGGGCCUGAGAGGGUGAUCCCCCACACUGGUACUGAGACACGGACCAGACUCCUACGGGAGGCAGCAGUGAGGAAUAUUGGACAAUGGGUGAGAGCCUGAUCCAGCCAUCCCGCGUGAAGGACGACGGCCCUAUGGGUUGUAAACUUCUUUUGUAUAGGGAUAAACCUACUCUCGUGAGAGUAGCUGAAGGUACUAUACGAAUAAGCACCGGCUAACUCCGUGCCAGCAGCCGCGGUAAUACGGAGGGUGCAAGCGUUAUCCGGAUUUAUUGGGUUUAAAGGGUCCGUAGGCGGAUCUGUAAGUCAGUGGUGAAAUCUCACAGCUUAACUGUGAAACUGCCAUUGAUACUGCAGGUCUUGAGUGUUGUUGAAGUAGCUGGAAUAAGUAGUGUAGCGGUGAAAUGCAUAGAUAUUACUUAGAACACCAAUUGCGAAGGCAGGUUACUAAGCAACAACUGACGCUGAUGGACGAAAGCGUGGGGAGCGAACAGGAUUAGAUACCCUGGUAGUCCACGCCGUAAACGAUGCUAACUCGUUUUUGGAUUUUCGGAUUCAGAGACUAAGCGAAAGUGAUAAGUUAGCCACCUGGGGAGUACGUUCGCAAGAAUGAAACUCAAAGGAAUUGACGGGGGCCCGCACAAGCGGUGGAUUAUGUGGUUUAAUUCGAUGAUACGCGAGGAACCUUACCAAGGCUUAAAUGGGAAAUGACAGGUUUAGAAAUAGACUUUUCUUCGGACAUUUUUCAAGGUGCUGCAUGGUUGUCGUCAGCUCGUGCCGUGAGGUGUUAGGUUAAGUCCUGCAACGAGCGCAACCCCUGUCACUAGUUGCCAUCAUUAAGUUGGGGACUCUAGUGAGACUGCCUACGCAAGUAGAGAGGAAGGUGGGGAUGACGUCAAAUCAUCACGGCCCUUACGCCUUGGGCCACACACGUAAUACAAUGGCCAGUACAGAGGGCAGCUACACGGUGACGUGAUGCAAAUCUCGAAAGCUGGUCUCAGUUCGGAUUGGAGUCUGCAACUCGACUCUAUGAAGCUGGAAUCGCUAGUAAUCGCGCAUCAGCCAUGGCGCGGUGAAUACGUUCCCGGGCCUUGUACACACCGCCCGUCAAGCCAUGGAAGUCUGGGGUACCUGAAGUCGGUGACCGUAACAGGAGCUGCCUAGGGUAAAAC